UCAACAAUUUUUGUUAARAUUUACCUUAAAGUACAAACUCUUUUCUAAAAAAGAAAGACGACAAGACCCUGAUGAACUUUACUUUAGUUAAGCUGGGGUGGCUCAUAUAAAAAUAUCUUAUAAACCCACACUUAAUUAUCUUAAUAAAAUUAAUCAAGUUACCACAGGGAUAACAGCAUAAUUUUAUUUUUAAGCUCAYAUUAGUAAUAAAGAUUAUGACCUCGAUGUUGAAUUAAGAAGUCAAAAAACUGUAAUAAGCCUAUAA
rnacentral:rRNA from 1 species